UGGGAUUUGGAAAGGCUGUGCAGGCACUUGGAGAAGGGAAGGGAAGAGACAUGAAGGCUUCCUUGGACACAAACAGCUUUUGAGGAUGUCUGAGAUGGAGGUGAGUCCCAUGAGCCAGAUGCCCCCACUGUCCUUGCUGGAGAACAGAGCCCGUGGAGAUACAAGGGGAUGGUUCUGGUGAUCAGCAGAGGUGGCAAUUCCUCCCUGGAGCCCGUCGAUUUGGGAGUAGGCUCCUGUUCUAAAAUUGCUGUUUCCUGUGGAAAUAUUCUUCCUGCCUCCCAUGCUGCCAAGUGAUUGCAUUCCUGUGAACCUCUGCUGUAGCCAGUGGGUGAGGAAAUGUUUGAGUUGCCCCUUGAUCUUCUCACACUGGCUGUGAGAAGUGGCAGAGCAGCUUUGGCUGGGUGAGUGCUCUGUGUUAGCCCCUGACACCAGUGUUAGAUACACCUGCCACAUCUGUGGUUCUGCAAGAAACCUGCCCUAGCCGUGCUGCUGAGGUUCAGCUGUAUCAACACUGGGGUAAAAAGGAAAGUUAAACGAACCAAAAAACCUGAAACUCCUUCAUGGAUGGGCUGCAGCCCAGUUAGCUGGAGCUUUGUGGAAAAUGAGCUGUGCAGCAGAAAGCCAUGAGAUGAACUGUUGUGCUUUCAGGAUCGUGUUGCAGAAAGUCUUUAAGCAGACGAAGCUGAUCCAAUGGUGCCUUUCCAGGGAAGAGGUGCUCUCCAGCAUCCAUCAGAGCUUGCAGUCUCUAUCCCUUCUUCACACUGAGUUACUGGCCCUUUUUUUUUUAGUCCCCUUUUCUCCCACCACUACCCUGUACACACGAGGGUGAAAGCAUGGCUGGGCUUUAUUCAGCUGCUCUCAGCUGGUCCUGAGAAGCAUGAGAAA